AACGAACGCUGGCGGCAGGCCUAACACAUGCAAGUCGGGCGGACCUUUCGGGGUCAGCGGCGGACGGGUGAGUAACGCGUGGGAAUAUGCCCUUCUCUACGGAAUAGUCCUGGGAAACUGGGGGUAAUACCGUAUACGCCCUUUGGGGGAAAGAUUUAUCGGGGAAGGAUUAGCCCGCGUUGGAUUAGGUAGUUGGUGGGGUAAUGGCCUACCAAGCCGACGAUCCAUAGCUGGUUUGAGAGGAUGAUCAGCCACACUGGGACUGAGACACGGCCCAGACUCCUACGGGAAGCAGCAGUGGGGAAUCUUAGACAAUGGGGGCAACCCUGAUCUAGCCAUGCCGCGUGAGUGAUGAAGGCCUUAGGGUUGUAAAGCUCUUUCAGCUGGGAAGAUAAUGACGGUACCAGCAGAAGAAGCCCCGGCUAACUCCGUG
rnacentral:rRNA from 1 species